GAUGCAUCACUUUUCCGCAGGCAUCAAUCUUAGCUCCGCCAUAAAACAUCAUCCUGAAAAGAUAAUCGAUGGUUAAUGUUAAAAUACAAGUAAAAAAAAAACAAGAGUUUGAUUCUGGCUCAGAAUGAACGCUGGCAACAGGCUUAACACAUGCAAGUGGUACGUUUUGACUCUUAAUGGGUUAAAAAGUCGCAAACGGGUGAGUAACACGUGAGAAUCUACCAACAAGCUCGGCAUACUGUUGUUUCUUUUUUACUAUUUAGAUUAAAUAGUAAAAAAAAGAAUACACAAAUACCGAAUAAAAAAAGGCUAUAGCCGCUAGUUGAUGAGCUCGCGCAAGAUUAGGUAGUUGGUGAGGUAACAGCUCACAAAGCCAAAGAUCUUUAGCCGAUUUGAGAGGAUGAUCGGCCACACUGGGACUGAGACACGGCCCAGACACUUUUAAGUGGCAGCAGUGGGGAAUUUUGGACAAUGAACGCAAGUUUGAUCCAGCCAUGUUGCAUGAGGGAAGAAGGCUCUUUUGGUCGUAAACCUUUAUUUUAGAAAAGGAUAAUGACGUAUUUCUAAAGAUUAGUCCCGGCUAAUUCUGUGCCAGCAGCCGCGGUAAUACAGAAGGGGCGAGCGUUAUUCGGAAUUACUGGGCGUAAAGAGCAUGUAGGUUGCUUAUAAUCUUCGAUUUUUUGUUAAAAAAAAACAAACGUUAAAGCCCUGAGUCUCUUUCAGGAAUAGCGAUCGAUAUUUACUAAAAAUAUGUAUGAUCACUUGAUUUAUCAAGUGAUGCAUCACUUGAUUUGUCAAGUGAUCGAUCAAAGCUUCGCUUUGUUGCAUCAUAACUUCAUUAUGAUCAAUUGUUAUGUAACAACAUUGCAUUAUCCUUUUAAGUUGAUCGAUCCCUUUUCUGGAGGGAUGCAUCAUAGCAGAGCCAUGAUCGAUCGUUGUUACACAACGAUGCAUCAAAAAUAAUGCUUCAUUCAUGAUGUAUGGCUUUCCCAUAAUACAUCAUCUUUGACACCUCUGAAAUCAAGUUAUUUAACCACAACAAAGCUUUUAAACGCUUUUAAUUAACGUAUCCAAGCAAAAGCGUUUGGCAAAAACGGAAAUCAAAAAUACAUCGUAAAUGAUGCAUGCAUCAUGGAUGAUGCAUCAAAGAUGAUGCAUGGUUAAAUAACACAAGAUUAAAAGAUUAAAAUUUUUUGGAAAAAUAUAGAUAUAAGCUUGAGUUUCUUAGAAGAGAAUAGAAUUUCUACAGGAGAGGUUAAAUUCAGUGAUAGUAGAAGGAAUUCCAAAAGCGAAGGCAGUUCUCUAAAAGUAUACUGACACUGAGAUGCGAAAGCGUGGGGAGCAAAGGAGAUUAGAUACCUCCGUAGUCCACGCCGUCAACUAUGAAGAUUCAUUAUUAGACCUUUCUUCUUUUAUUGUGUGUAAAAAACACAAAAAGGUUAUAAAAACGGUUUAGUGAUAUAGCUAACGCGUUAAAUCUUCCGCCUGAGGAGUACGACCGCAAGGUUAAAACUCAAAGAAAUAGACGGGGGCCCAUACAAGUGGUGGAACAUGCGGUCUAACUCGAAACAACGCGCAAAACCUUACCAGCCCUUGUAUCAGUUUGAAAAAAUUUUUUAAAGAAUUUUUAUACAAUUGACAGGUGUUGCAUGGCUGUCGUCAGCUCGUGUCGCGAGACGUUCGGUUAAGUCCUUUAACGGGCGAAACCCUCUUGAUUUGUUGCUCAUCAUAAUAAGUUCUUGAAAUAAUGUUUCUAAAUCGCCGCACAUUCUAAGUAAGAAAGCCUUUUUAAGUUGAAACCUCUUAAGCUUCACGCUUAAUGGUCACUCAACGACUGUUGAAGUUUUUAACUUUAGGUUUAUAACAUAUUUAGAUUGUUUGUUAUUUUUACUUUCGGUGAAAGCGUUGAUUUAGAGAAUAACAUUCUGGUUAAAUAAACACCAGUUAUAUAUCUUGUGUAAAUCUUUUUAGCAAAAAAAAACAAUUUAAAAAAAGUGAAACACAACUUAUGUAAAGACAAUAAUGUUAUUGAUUUAUUAUUUAUGCAUCAGCCUUUUAGGCUGAUCGAUCUCUCCCAUGGAGGGAUGCAUCAUGGCGGAGCCAUGAUCGAUCGUUGUUACACAACGAUGCAUCAUUUUUAGGAAAAAAAAUGAUCGAUCAAAGCUUCGCUUUGUUGCAUCAUGGCGUAGCCAUGAUCGAUCACUCCCAUGGAGUGAUGUAUCAUCCCAGGAUGUAAGGUAAAACCUAUAACCUUUUGUUAUAAGUGAAACGCCAUUAAAUUUAUAGAAAUUAUGAUGCACUCAAAUCAUACUGUUAUUGAUAAAGUAAAGUAAGGAGAGGAUCACGUCAAGUCGUCAUGACCCUUAUGGGCUGGGCUACACGUGUGUUACAAUGGCAAUUACAAAGGGAGGCAAUAACGAAAGUUGGAGCGAAUC
rnacentral:rRNA from 1 species